AAAGUGGUACGUGAGCUGGGUUCAGACCGUCGUGAGACAGGUCGGUCCCUAUCUGGUGUGGGCGCACGAAACUUGAGGAGGUUCUUCGUUAGUACGAGAGGAUUUUGAAGGACGGCCCUCUGGUGUUCCUGUUGUCGCGCUAGCGGCACGGCAGGGUAGCUAAGGCCGGAACGGAUAAACGCUGAAAGCAUAUAAGCGUGAAGCCUUCUCCAAGAUCAGGUUUCGUAAGGACAAUAGUCCGAAAGUCCCCUGGAAGACGACCAGGUUGAUAGGCUGGAUGUGUAAGCACAGUAAUGUGUUCAGCUAACCAGUACUAAUGGACGAAUGCUUGGCCGC
rnacentral:rRNA from 1 species